ensembl:lncRNA novel transcript
GGGAGCCUUAGGCAAGAGCUGCUGGACUGGAGGGAGGGAGGGGAGGGGAGGGGAGGGGCGCGGGGACUCAAGCCACGGUUUUUGUGUCCGCGGCUGCACCCCUCUCGAAGCGUUUUCACGCACAUGUGAGAAACCUCACACCCUGGGGCCGAUUUCUUUAGUAGAUUGGCGCCCAAAUGGCAAAGAUUUCCAGGGAUUUGUUUGGGAUUCCAUAUUUUUGUAGAUUUGCCGAGAUUGGAUACUAGUACAAUAUUGAGAAUUCCCGUCCAGCAAUGUGGCUAUUUUUUUAAAUUAAUUCAGUUCUCCCUUUGUUUUUCAGGGAUAACAUCACUAUUAUAAAACCUACGAUUGGUGCUCAAGGUAUUUUCAGACCCCUCCCUGGAUGGAUCAGCUGCUCCCACCCAGACUGAUGGUCUUGUGGCUUCCACUCAGGAACUGACUCAGCACAAGAGGACAGCUUUGACUCCCCAUUCCUGGGGGACCAGUCAGCACUCCCCACUACCUGCCCCCCAUCCAUGAGAUUAUCCUUAAAAACCCCAGUCUCCGAAUUUUCAGGGAGACUGAUCUGAGCAAUAAUAAAACGGCAGUCUCCUGUACAACCAGCUGUGUGAAUUAAACUCUUUCUCUGUUAC